UGUGUGUGUGUGUGUGUGUGUGUGUGAGAUACACACACACUCGUGGCAUCUCUGGGGGGCAAAUGAAUGGUUGCUCUCUAAAACUAUGUCAUGCUAAAAUAUGACUAAUGUGUUUUGUUGUAGAUGCCGCGUCCAAGCAAGCAGUCCAAGGCAGCCAAGCGGCGCUGUGCUGAAAGAGGGCUGACUGCAGUAGACCUGGGGUCUGCUGCCGAGGUCGCGCUUCCUCGUAAAAUUAAAGUUGCCAAGGUCGCGCUUCCUCGUAAAAUUAAAGUUGCCGAGUUUGCGCUAAUUCGUAAAAGUCAAGUUGCCGAGGUCGCGCUUCCUCGUAAAAACAAAGUUGCCGAGAUGGCGCUUCCUCGUAAAAAACAAGUUGCCUCCAAAACUCUGCCAAAACUCUGCCAACAUUCUGCCAACAUUUUGCCAACAAUUUGCCAACAAUCUGCCAAAACUCUGCCAAAACUCUGCCAAAACUCUGCCAAAAUUCUGCCAAAUGACCUGCCAAAUACUGUGAAUUACAUGAAAGACGAUAAUGUUACCGAUGAUUGUUUGAUUCUGCCUGUUGACAGAUCUGUGCUGAUGGGGUCGUUUCAUCAAGAUGAUUUACAGUUCGGAAAGGAUCGCAACAAGCAAUGUGGUGCCAUCAGUCUGACUGCAGUUCUGAAGUCCAAUCUGAGUGACGUGUGGACCUGGACGAGCAGAGAUCUCGAUGAUGUUUUGAUUAAGGGAACUGUACUUUACAGAUCAAUGAAUGCACAGCGUCUAAUAAGAGACCAAGAAAGAGGUUACAUUGCUGUGUCUGAAUUGCCUAGACACUACAAAGUGUGGAAUACAAAUUUUGCAAUUAACUAUGCAGAGUCUUUCACUGGAUUGAUUCGUGUUGAUGACUAUGAUCAAAGUUUACGUGAUGUUGCUAUGCCUUUUGAUGAAGCACUCCAGCGUUCACUAUAUGGUAAUGAUGCUUGUUUGUUAACCAUUUGUGCUAAUACAUGUGCAAUAGUCAAUGGAAGAGGCAAGUUUGCAUUUGUUGAUUCACAUAUAAACUCAAAUGUCAACAGGAAAGGUCGAAGGGCAAGCUGUGUUUCAUACUUCAACUGUUUACAGACCCUGAUCCGUCAUGUGUAUGACUUUGCAGAACGGUUUGGCGGAAGUACACCCCGAUUUGAGGCAACAGGUGUGAAAGCUGCAAUAAUCCAUGUCGACCCUGACAACGCCAACUACAGUACAAUGAGACUUGGCUCAACAACACAGGUUCCCGAGGAACCGCAACUUCCAGGGUACACGUUCAAGCACAAUCCGAGAGAAAACUGUUACGAUGAUUCUGAACCGGUCUUUGCAGGGUUGAAACAACAACAAAGAGCAUUUGUUACAGCUCGUCUUUGACCUUGACAAACAUCCUGGGAGGAAACUCAUCAUGGGAGACUUCAAUGAGGAUAUCUUUGUGUCGUCUACCAUUGCCAAGUUACUGGAACAGCAUGGGUACAGUCAACACGUGCACACAGCCACAACUGAAAAAGCUUGCUCGAGCUCAUCCAUCUUCACCUGUAUCCCAAACUUCCAAGACCAAUCCGAACUACAAAAUCCACUGCUGCUAGAAGUUUGACUGUCCAUGAUGGUCUUGUGAGAUCACUUUCCUUAAUUUUUUAAAGCGUGUUACGGUGACUGGACUGGAUGCCUGGACUCUCCUCAUGGUUAACUGGCCAGCACCACAUCACCGUGUUAUAAAAUGAUUAAUCAUUUUAUGAUUAAUCGUUUUUUGUUUUAUAUCUGUUUUGUUUGUUUUUUAGCACUUUGGUGACCAAUUUAAUAUGAUGUGCAUGUGUUUACCUGUAUGUCAAUUAUGGCACCCACUCCUGACCAUCCCUGGAAGAAGGGAUCCCCUACUAUGCGUUUCUUCUCAAGAUUUCUUCCUUGCUAAUUUCAAGGGAGUUUUUUCUUGCCCUUGUGGGGGCUUGGGUAAAGGGGGGUGUCAUAAAUAUUUUACCUGUUAAGCCCUUUGUAAUGGUGAUUAAGGGCUAUACAAAUAAACUUGAAUUGAUUCCAUUAGUUUGUAUACUAUUUACGAUAUCAUGUCACAAGAUGGAUAAGACAACAUAACAAUGUUGUAUAUAUGCAUUAAGAGUAUUAAAAGUAGGUGGUGUGUGUGUUUAUUACUACCUUUUAUCAGUAGUUGCACUAUGGUUAGCACUAUGGGUGAUGUGGAAAAUACUGAAUCAUACCUCAAGUAUGAUUCAGUAUUUUCCACAUCACCCAUCAUCACUUAUAUGAUUAAACCCUGAGUACUUGCUUGUUUAUUUAGAUUGGCUUAACAGAAACGAUGCUGCCUAUCUCUUAGUAUUGACCACAAUAAUUUAACUUCAUGAUUUUUCCUACCAUUGACUGACUGGGUCUUAAUUAAUCAGUGGUACAAUCCCAAUUACAAUCAGGAUGAAGUGAACAUACUCUGAAUGCUAUGCUCUUACUCAAAUAAAUGUUGACACAGAUUCUGUAAUGGUGUCUUGAAGAGGAGUUGUGCGCACAUC
ensembl:lncRNA